UCUACCAAUCUGGACUAAUACAAGAAUUGUUCAUAUCCAAAUCCUUAACAUAUGCACAUGAAAUUCUCUAAGCUAUGAAAACCAGAAAAUUGGUGGCCAUGGCCUACUGGGUAAGUACAAUAUAAACAAGAAAGAAUUUAGAGCGAUUACAUGCUUAAUUCCAUUUCUUUCUUUCGAGGACAAGGCUAGUAAACGUUGUUGAGUUAGUUAACAGAGCACUUUCAGUCAAGUGAUUCGAUCGGAAAGUAUUAAUUUCUUUAACUGAUCUCAAUAAACCAACAUCUAGUUAAAUGGUUGCCUUUAUUUUUUCUGGAAAAAGUAGAAUUUUGUUAUUGAAGAGCAGAAAGAAAUUGGCAAGACAACAUAAUCAUCUUCAACUCUUCUAUGCACAUAUUUUCUAAUGAAUAUUAACUAUUGACAGUUUUCGACGAGAAUAAAAUACACAUUUUAGAAGUAUUUUUGGAAAAUAAAAAAAAUUCAAAUCAAGCCUCUAUCUAGUCGGAAAAUUUGGAGUUUUUUUCAACAACAAUUUAAUUAGUAAUAAACUCAAAAAUGCUUCUGGCUCCAACAUACCAUCUUCCCAUUUACCUUUAUCCCAAUUGUCCCACAGGGUAACUACUAAUAUAACAAGCUGUGCCAAAUAAGGAGAAUGCCUUUACGAGGAUCCGAACAGAAGAGAUGAGAGACUUGGACGACCAAACCAGGAAAACGACAUUGAAGAUAUAUCGAAGCAUUGUUACCAAAAUGUUCAGAAUGUGCUAAAUCAGCUGAGCCAAGACCUCGUGACCUCUAUUGCUUGGCUAAAAAAUUACUUAAAAGAGGGAGAAAGAUGUGUGCAGGGACACAACCAUGUUUCUGUUCUGGGCACAGCAGCUAGAUGGCGUUCUUCCAAUCGAUCAAAAUUCAAGGCCUCUGAAUUCUCAGAAGCAAGCUUGAUUAGAUUUCCUGAACAAGAGUCACUCAGGUCAAUAUGCAACUCAACAGAGAAAAUUUAUAGUCACCCAUGAAUAUUAGCAUACAAACUAAUGUGAGCAUAUUAUCAGAGUGAAAUUGUCCUGUCUUCACUUUUACGAAAAUUUAAAAGGCUCCUUUUGUUUCUCUUUCUUAAGCCAUACGAGAGUUCACCUGCACUCUAAUCAUUCAGAAGGCUCUAGUUUCUAUUUAUGCGAGUCCAUCUAUUGCAAACAUCAGUUCAAAAAAAAAAAAAAAAAAAAAAAGAAGGAUUGUUGGAAGAGUUAAUAGGAUGGCUACAAGGCCAUUGAAAUAUUUCCUGUGACUUGAAUUUCAUUCUACACCAAAAGCUUAUACUGAAAAAUCUAGGAUCAGCCACAGAUUUUAAUAUAAGAUUUCAAGUCAAUGAAAAUAGAUACAGAUUUCCAUAUUAAAAUAGUAGCACAGUCUAUAUAUUAUACAACUAAAAAAAUGAACUGAUGCAUUGAUAACAAGAAGAAACUAAAACCAAACCAUUUGAUACAGAGGAUGAGAAAAAAAAUAUGGAAAGAAAAAAUGCAAUGGCAACUGGAAUUGAUAGUCAAAUUUUAUUCGUUGCUUAACCAACCAAUGUAAGCCCUUGUUUGAGCCCCAUUUUGAAGAGAAAAUGUGUUUUUGUAUCGUGAAUUUUCGGAGAAUAUGUGGUUAGAAAAUAAGAAUUUUUUUUUUAUAUACAUGUAAAAUUAUUUUAUUGGAGAAUGUGUGGUUGAAAAUGAAUUUUGAAAAAAUGAAUUUUUGAAAAAACGGGGCACAAACAAGGGCUAAAUAAUGUUCACAUAUGCUCUAGGGAAUAGAAGCAUACAUUUAACAGAUACAAAGCAUCAUUAUGAACAUUAUUAAUACUGGAUUUGACAACUUCGAAUUAAGUUUUGCCAAAAUUCAAUUCAAAUUUAAAAUGAAAGGAUUCUUAAUUUAAAUGUCUAAACUUAUCCCAGGCUACGAAAUGCAAUGAUAUUAAGUCAGGUUGAGACAUAAAAUCUCAAAACUAUUGUGGAUGAAACGAAAAAGAAAUUUGUAGGUAGCAAAAUGAACUGUUUUACAGAAAUUACAGAAAUGAAAUGAGCUCAUGGAUGGAAUACGUACCCAUCAAUUGCUGAUAUACAAAUGAACUCCAGAGCUUCACAAUCCUCUAUAUGAAGAAAACUAAUAGCAGGAAGAACACCAAGCUGAGGACACCUUUUGACAACUGCUAAACUCUCCUUAGCAUGCAUUUCUGUGAAGCUCAGCUCCAAUCAUUUUUUACAUGAUACAUGUCAAAUGUUCAAGUCUUUGGGUAAAGCUAGUUUCCCUAAUGUGGAAAACUCGUGCACUUAUUACAACCAUUAAAACUUGUUUGUUAACUUGGAUAACGAUAAAUCCCCAAUAAAACUAGAUAAUUUUAAUCCCCCUAAAAAUCAAUUUCAAGACUUGAUAAAUUUUCAUGGGGCUUUAGUGCAUCAGAAACAUUUUGAGGAUCAUUUAGCUCGUGCUCCAAAUGUCUCAUAACCACCAACAAAACUUGGAAGCUCAUAUAUGGAAUCAUAACCAAUUAAUGACAGCAUUUUUAAUACAGUACAAUUUUGGCAAUAAGUCAGGCAAAGCUCCUUAAUAAAAGAAGAACGGUUGAACAACAUACUUCUUCAAAAUGGGCAGUGGCGAAAGGUCAUAAGAUUAGACCGCUAGUCACAUAUAUAAAUCAAUGAAUGACAAGUGAUGGACCAUUAUAGAAAUAUUUUUCAACGUAUCUCCAAUCAUCAAGGAUGUUGUGCAUCCCAAAAAUGAAUAUUUGCCACUUGACCAUUGGAUGAAUAACCUUGCCAAGAGUUUAUCCAAAAAUAAUCACCUUCUAAUUCUUCCAUUUGCAUAAAACCUCAAUUUCAAAGUUUUUGUGACAAUCAUAGCCCUCUCAUACAAACCACAUCUUUGCAAUGAAUUCCUUCUUAAAGUAGGUUACCGUUUAACUUACCAACAAUAUACUAGAUUGGAUUUAUCAAACUCAUAGUCCUUGGGAAAGAUAAAUUAGUAAGCAAAUAUAUUUUUUGCAAUUGAGGAGGAAGAUAUUGGUAGCUGAAUUUUAAUAUUAGAAAAAUACUACCAUUCUUCGUACUUUUGACUCAUCUUCCCAUUCUUUAGGACUAACGGAUAUGACAAAGUUCAUAGUAUAUCCAAAUCUCUUCAUUUUUCUUUCCAAACAUCAUCUAAACAUACUAGAACUUUUGUCAACUUAAAAGUAUUAAAUCCAAAUCACUUUUUUUUCCUAUUCCUCCCAUACCAAAUAUUGGAAUCACCAAUGCUUCAACUUCUCUUCAUUGGUUUCAUCCAAAUUCAAAAUCAUUUGCAAUCUUUCACCUAUCCCAUCAAGCCUUUCCACCAAAUUGAGCACACUAACCUGCUCCCCUAGACCUUCAAAUAGGUAAUCAAACUCCUCUAAAUAGGAUUCCAUCCCACUAUUAAUCAUAAAAGCACCGCUUGCAAAAACAGUACAAAAUUUGAAAACGAGCUUCCUUACCUCAUCAGUUUCCAAUAAUUUGCGCAUCAGAGCUUUAGUGUUCCAACUUAUCCAUCAAUUCAUUCAGAUAGCCAAACCCUUCAUAAAUUACCGCAGAAAACAUCUUAUCGAGCAAAACCGUCGCCAAGAAAUUAAGAUUUCACAAAUAGCAAUUUUUUUUCAAUUUGUGAAACAUGAAGCAGCAGAUCGGAGAGAUAUAUAAUGAUAAGGAUGAAUAUUAUUGUGUAGAAAUGGAAUUCGAUUCUCGACCUGAGAUAAAACGAGAUAAGAAAGUGAAGUGAAAGAAAAUGAUAGCUGCAGGAAAAGGAAAGAGGAGGAUAAGGCGCAGUUGGAG
rnacentral:lncRNA from 1 species